CUACAAGUCCAGAACCAAACCUCAAGUCACAUCGUUUUGAACGUUUCUCAACCUGGUCAUCAGCCGUUAGGGCUGUUGCUUAUUUGAUUCACGUUGCCCAUUGUUUUAAAAGGAGCUCAAUAUCAGAGUGUCAUUGUUGGCAUAUCUGUACCAACCAUCCUACCGCAACGGAAAUUAAGCGUGCCGAAAAGGUUAUCAUUCACUGUGUACAACAAGAAGCGUACAUGGAAGAAUUCC